AAAUUCUCCACCACCAACUUCGGUGUUCCUGUCUCCAAAUCAGCCAUGCUUCCUUCCUUUCCACCACCAUCUUGCUGCCUCUCCACUUAGCAGUAGCAGCCCUUCAUUCAACCCAAAAAAUAGCUCCAUACCUCUCAUUGUUUUUCCAACUGCUCAGCUCUCCCUAACAAAACCUUGCAACAGCCACACAAACCAUCACAAAACAGCCCCAAAGCUGCCCCGAAACAGCCCCAAAUCGCCAUCCACUGCAGCGCCUCACUCCUUCAUUUUUCACCCUCCAAACCAGACCAAUCUCAGCCAUUAAAAUACCAUCCAAACAACCACUUUCCAUACCAGAAAAAUCCAUGGCAGCCACCCCUUCAUUCCAGUAAAAAAACCCAGGAAAAAGAGAGAGGAACGAGUGAGAAAGGGAAGAAAAACCGAG
rnacentral:lncRNA from 1 species